rnacentral:rRNA from 1 species
UACAGAGGUCCCAAGCGUUGUUCGGAUUCAUUGGGCGUAAAGGGUGCGUAGGCGGUGCCGUAAGUCGGGUGUGAAAUCCCGGGGCUCAACCCCGGAACUGCACUCGAUACUGCGGUGCUCGAGGACUGGAGAGGAGACUGGAAUUCACGGUGUAGCAGUGAAAUGCGUAGAUAUCGUGAGGAAGGCCAGUGGCGAAGGCGGGUCUCUGGACAGUUCCUGACGCUGAGGCACGAAGGCUGGGGGAGCAAACGGG